rnacentral:misc_RNA from 1 species
UACUAACUUCGCGUGAAGGAUGGAAGGGGAGCUCUUUAUGGAUUGUCCCGCAGGGCAAGACAUAAAAGCGGGAACGAACAGCCUGACCCGUA